GCGCUCGUGGUGUAAUUGGUAGCCACGCCAGACUUAGGAUCUGGUGCUGAAAGGCGUGGGGGUUCGAGUCCCUUCGAGCGCAC
rnacentral:tRNA from 1 species